CUGCAGCCCGACUUGAGCGGAAAUCCUUUUUUGCCAUCCUUAAAAUUAUAUCUAAGCUGAUAUCGUCGGCAAAAAAGAUUGGGAGCGGAAGGCGGAUCAAGC
rnacentral:sRNA from 1 species